rnacentral:tRNA from 1 species
GGUCCAAUGGUCUAAUGGUUAUGAUUUCUGUCUCACAAGGGUGCACAGACGGUUCCCAGUUCGAUCCUGGGUUGAACCA